rnacentral:rRNA from 1 species
UACGAAGGGUGCAAGCGUUAAUCGGAAUUACUGGGCGUAAAGCGCACGUAGGCGGAUUGGUCAGUUAGGGGUGAAAUCCUGGAGCUCAACUCCAGAACUGCCUUUAAUACUGCCAGUCUCGAGUCCGGAAGAGGUAAGUGGAACUCCUAGUGUAGAGGUGGAAUUCGUAGAUAUUAGGAAGAACACCAGUGGCGAAGGCGGCUUACUGGUCCGGUACUGACGCUGAGGUGCGAAAGCGUGGGGAGCAAACAGG